GAUGAACGCUGGCGGCGUGCCUAAUACAUGCAAGUCGAACGAAACUUCUUUAUCACCGAGUGCUUGCACCCACCGAUAAAGAGUUGAGUGGCGAACGGGUGAGUAACACGUGGGCAACCUGCCCAAAAGAGGGGGAUAACACUUGGAAACAGGUGCUAAUACCGCAUAACCAUAGUUACCGCAUGGUAACUAUGUAAAAGGUGGCUAUACUACCGCUUUUGGAUGGGCCCGCGGCGCAUUAGCUAGUUGGUAGGGUAAAGGCUUACCAAGGCAAUGAUGCGUAGCCGAAUUGAGAGGUUGAUCGGCCACAUUGGGACUGAGACACGGCCCAAACUCCUACGGGAGGCAGCAGUAGGGAAUCUUCCACAAUGGGCGAAAGCCUGAUGGAGCAACGCCGCGUGGGUGAAGAAGGUCUUCGGAUCGUAAAACCCUGUUGUUAGAGAAGAAAGUGCGUGAGAGUAACUGUUCACGUUUCGACGGUAUCUAACCAGAAAGCCACGGCUAACUACGUG
rnacentral:rRNA from 1 species